AACCAAUGAUGAGCUCUUUAUUUUCUGACACCUCGUAUGAAAACUGGCUACAGUUACUGAUUACAAGGCAUGAGCUGAGGUUU
rnacentral:snoRNA from 1 species